CUUUUGCGUGGCUUCUUCAGGACAGUCAAAGGGACAGUCCAUCGAACUGGAUGAUCAAAUAAAAUCUCCUGCAAAAUCAUGGACCGACUUGCGACCGUCAUUGGACAACAACAUAUAGGUCUGACGGUGGGAUUGAGUUUGAUGAUCAUCGUCGUGAUUAUCGUCCUUGCGGCGGUUGUUUACACUCCACCGGGAUCUACAACGCGCUGCUGGAGAAGAAGCAGGAGUGAAGAACAGCUCUCCCUCACUGCUAACAGAAUUUCAUGACCACUAACAGAAAAACACGUGAACUUUAUGGAUCUCAGUGUUGGAACCACUAUGGGAACUUUUUAUCCCUUAAAAAAAGACUUCCAAACAAAUCACAGUUUCCAAAGACGUGGAAAUUACAAAAUUUGUGUACCAGUCAUACAAAUGUAAAUCCUCCCCAGCAGUCUCUUUAAAAUGAUGUUUAAAAUACUUAUUAGGACUAACUGGAAAAACCAUGGAAAAAUCUUGGAAGUUCAUUGGCAAAAAGAUUAUGGGAAUCCAUAAUUAUUAAUUAAUUGUGUCCCUGUUGAACUACUACUAAAGAACAUUUUAAGCUAGAGCUGUGUUUACUUUCCCCAAUUGUUACACAUUUAUUAAUCAUCCAUUAUUACAUCUAUUAAACGAUAUAUAAUUAA